GACGAACGCUGGCGGCGUGCUUAACACAUGCAAGUCGAACGGAAAGGCCCCUUUGGGGGUACUCGAGUGGCGAACGGGUGAGUAACACGUGAGUAACCUGCCCUUGACUUCGGGAUAACUUCAGGAAACUGGGGCUAAUACCGGAUAGGAAUCCUUGCUGCAUGGUGGGGGUUGGAAAGCUUCGGCGGUUUUGGAUGGACUCGCGGCUUAUCAGCUUGUUGGUGGGGUAGUGGCUUACCAAGGCUUUGACGGGUAGCCGGCCUGAGAGGGCGACCGGCCACAUUGGGACUGAGAUACGGCCCAGACUCCUACGGGAGGCAGCAGUGGGGAAUAUUGCACAAUGGGCGGAAGCCUGAUGCAGCAACGCCGCGUGCGGGAUGACGGCCUUCGGGUGGUAAACCGCUUUCAGCAGGGGCGAAGCUUGUGGUGACGGUACCUGCAGAAGAAGCACCGGCUAACUACG
rnacentral:rRNA from 1 species